UUACAUCAAAUUCAACAUUUUCAAAAUGAAAAUUCUUAUCUUUUUCCUCAAAGGUGUUUCUCAUCCUCUUUUUCUUUACUUGAAAAAUUCUGACUUAUUUCGUGCGUGGUCUUGAAACAUCAAUUUAUUUGAUAUUUCUCUUGACAAAAGCAAGCCUUAAUACAAUCUUCAUAUGGAUUCCCAUAAUUCUCUACUUCUCUACAUUUUAUCUUGCUGCUUGUUUUUAAUUGUUGGUCUCUCUCAAUAAUCGAAAAUUGUUACAAGAGUAGGGAUCAAUUCUAUCCUAUAUUCUAGGUAUAUCACAGCAAGGGCCAAGCCCAGUAGAUUAAUAAAGUUUUUGAAUUAACAAAUAAGUGAAUGAGAGCAAGGGUAUAGUGCAUCCUGCCCAUUUGGGGGUACAGAUUCUAGAGUUUUCAUGUAAUGGACAAAUCUACCGACAUUCUAUCCUUUUCUUUCUUUUUUUUUUUUUUUUUUUUUGCCUCAGCCUCUCGAGUAGCUGGGAUUACAGGUGCCCGCCA
rnacentral:lncRNA from 10 species